rnacentral:rRNA from 1 species
GUCCAUGAUUGGUGGCUCAAAAUGAUCAACUCUCGAGGCCAUAUCAAGAAGGCGAUUGCCUCCGUUAUAAUGCUCGUCUUGUGGGAAAUUUGGAAGGAGCGAAAUGCGAGAAUCUUCCGCAACACGGCCACUCCGACCACUAUCAUAGCCGUGAAGAUCAAAGAGGAGGGCCGCCUUUGGGCGCUGGUUGGAGCUAGCCAUCUGAGUACUCUUAUGUCGCGAGAGUAG